GUCUUUUGGUUAUUUUUUGUGUGUGUGUGUUUUAAAAAGAGGGGUUUUAAAGGGGGUUGUUUUUAAAGGGGUUGAUGGGUUCUUCUCCGUGAGGAGGAAAACCCAUCAAAAAUCCACAAAGGGGGGUGUGUGUAAGAAAGAAUAAAAUUCUUUGAUGAUCCUUCCGCAGGUUCACCUACGGAAA
rnacentral:misc_RNA from 1 species